GACGAACGCUGGCGGCGUGCUUAACACAUGCAAGUCGAACGAAAAGAGGGAAAGAGCUUGCUCUUUCCGGAAUUGAGUGGCAAACGGGUGAGUAACACGUAAACAACCUGCCUUCAGGAUGGGGACAACAGACGGAAACGACUGCUAAUACCGAAUAAGUUCCAAGAGCCGCAUGGCCCAUGGAAGAAAAGGUGGCCUCUACCUGUAAGCUAUCGCCUGAAGAGGGGUUUGCGUCUGAUUAGCUGGUUGGAGGGGUAACGGCCCACCAAGGCGACGAUCAGUAGCCGGUCUGAGAGGAUGAACGGCCACACUGGAACUGAGACACGGUCCAGACUCCUACGGGAGGCAGCAGUGGGGAAUCUUCCGCAAUGGGCGAAAGCCUGACGGAGCAACGCCGCGUGAGUGAUGACGGCCUUCGGGUUGUAAAACUCUGUGAUCCGGGACGAAAAGGCAGAGUGCGAAGAACAAACUGCAUUGACGGUACCGGA
rnacentral:rRNA from 1 species